rnacentral:rRNA from 1 species
UAGAUGCGAGAGUAGAGCAUAUCAAUAAGCGGAGGAAAAGAAACUAACAAGGAUUCCCCUAGUAACGGCGAGUGAAGCGGGAAGAGCUCAAAUUUGAAAUCUUAAAGGGUUUCCCUUUACGAAUUGUAGUUUAAAGAAGUGUUUUCUGUUGGAGUUUCGGUAAAAGUUCUCUGGAAUAGGACAUCAUAGAGGGUGAGAAUCCCGUAUUUGACCAUUAUUUUCAGCUGUGUGAUACACUUUCAAAGAGUCGGAUUGUUUGGGAAUGCAGUCCAAAAUGGGUGGUAAAUUUCAUCUAAAGCUAAAUAUUGGCGAGAGACCGAUAGCGAACAAGUACCGUGAGGGAAAGAUGAAAAGAACUUUGAAAAGAGAGUUAAACAGUACGUGAAAUUGUCAAAAGGGAAGCGUUUGACACCAGUGUUGUUUUCUCGAAAAUCAAUUAAAAAAGGCCGGAUUUUGUGUUGUAUUGACCUUAAAAGCUUUCUUCACUCUUUUCUUGUCUUUUUUAAUGCACUUUUCGUUUAACAAGUCAACAUCAGUUUCUUUUGUUGUAAAAGGGUCAUUGGAAGGUGGCUUUCUUUUCGGAGAAAGUGUUUAUAGCCUUUGAUCUCUGCAACCGGAGAGACUGAGGUCUGCAGCGUAGACUCUUCGGGGUUAAAUACAUUUGUGCUAAGCUAUAGCUUUUUAUAGACAACUUGUUGACUAUAGUUUAGUCUUGUAGCUUACUCGCUUAUGCUAUUUUACCUACGCUUAGGAUGUUGACACACGCGCGUGCUCG